rnacentral:rRNA from 1 species
GAUGAACGCUGGCGGCGUGCCUAAUACAUGCAAGUCGAGCGAAUGGAUUGAGAGCUUGCUCUUAUGAAGUUAGCGGCGGACGGGUGAGUAACACGUGGGUAACCUGCCCAUAAGACUGGGAUAACUCCGGGAAACCGGGGCUAAUACCGGAUAACAUUUUGAACCGCAUGGUUCGAAAUUGAAAGGCGGCUUCGGCUGUCACUUAUGGAUGGACCCGCGUCGCAUUAGCUAGUUGGUGAGGUAGCGGCUCACCAAGGCAACGAUGCGUAGCCGACCUGAGGGGGUGAUCGGCCACACUGGGACUGAGACACGGCCCAGACUCCUACGGGAGGCAGCAGUAGGGAAUCUUCCGCAAUGGACGAAAGUCUGACGGAGCAACGCCGCGUGAGUGAUGAAGGCUUUCGGGUCGUAAAACUCUGUUGUUAGGGAAGAACAAGUGCUAGUUGAAUAAGCUGGCACCUUGACGGUACCUAACCAGAAAGCCACGGCUAACUACGUGCCAGCAGCCGCAGUAA